rnacentral:lncRNA from 1 species
GUGCGUUUAUUUCAUCAAUCCUAUGGCUGAUAUUGUAUCUAGAGGGAGAAUUUUUUUUCUCAGGGUUCGAAUCCUGGAGGGAGCGAAAUAUUUUAAAUUUCGUUAUUCAUCAGUAUAUACUGCAUUGUUCAUCGGUAUAUACUGCCUUGUUCAUCAGUUUAUAUGUCUUAUUCAUUACCAAUUUUUUAAAUUUCGUUAUUCAUCAGUAUAUACUGCCUUGUGGCCCUUGUUCAUCAGUAUAUAUGUCUUAUUCAUUGUCCUCAGUGUCUCACGAAAAAUAGGGGGUCUCACUGGAGCGCGCCCCUAUAUAUA